ACCACAACAGGUGGAGCCUGCGGUUUAAUCGGACUCAAACGCCGGGAAACUCACCAGAUAAGACAGCUGAAUGAUAGUCGGGCCGAAGACUCUACUUGACUAGCUGAGAGGAGGUGCAUGGCCGUCGUCAGUUCGUACUGUGAAGCAUCCUGUUAAGUCAGGCAACGAGCGAGACCCACGCCAACAGUUGCCAGCUCGUCCUCCGGGAUGGUGGGGACACUGUUGGGACCGCCUCUGCUAAAGAGGAGGAAGGAAUGGGCAACGGUAGGUCAGCAUGCCCCGAAUUAUCUGGGCUACACGCGGGCUACAAUGGGUGGGACAAUGGGUAUCGACACCGAAAGGUGAAGGCAAUCUCCUAAACCCAUCCGUAGUUCGGAUUGUGGGCUGCAACUCGCCCACAUGAAGCUGGAAUCUGUAGUAAUCGUGUCUCAAAAUGGCACGGUGAAUAUGUCCCUGCUCCUU
rnacentral:rRNA from 1 species